rnacentral:lncRNA from 1 species
CUUUGCUUUUAUCUCAUAUAUAUACAUGAUAAAGCCAUGGGACUUUUUGCAAUAGCUUUCAAACCAUUUAACCUUGAAAAAAACAACCGGAAGUGACCUUGUGUAAACCGGAAGUAGCUAUUUUUCAUACCUUAUUAAAAUAAAAGUAUAUAGAAUCAGAUAUUUUUGGAAUCAGUGUCAAGUAAAUAUUCAAAUAGUAUUGGAAGUAACAUUUUUCAGACCGGAAGUAACAAAUU